rnacentral:lncRNA from 1 species
AUUUUUAUAACUUUUUAUUUAAAACACUGUUAAUUCUUCUGUUUUACAAAGUCCAAAAAACUUUUUCUUUUUAGCUAUUGACAACUUUCAACAGUCAGAUAAAAUACACUCCUAUAAAGAAAAUUUAAGACAUAUUUUUCUCUAGCUAAUCUCUCCAAAAUUUACAAACUAUUUAUACAUAUACUUAAUUUAUAACAAUAUUAUUAUUUACAUAAAUUCAAUAAAAAUCUAUUUUCUUUUAUAACACAAUUAAAAACACUAUUUUACCAAAAUUUUAAUUUAAAAAACAUACUUACAAACUACUUUAAAAUAUCAAAAUUAACCUAUAAAGCCAAUAAAAGCCCCUUAAAAAACUAACCUCAUACCUUGUCUAUACAGUGUCUAUACAAAAUUCUUAACCUAUAACAAAUAAAAAGUGUCACUUUCUAACAGGAACCACAGCCCCAAGUUUUCUUGAGACCUCAAAAGAAAAAAUUUGCCCAUUUAAUACAAAUAUUUAAAGACACAAAUAAACCCAUGACUGGACUCAAAACUUCAAAAGAUCUAAUCUAAAAUUCCCUAUAACAAAGUUCCAACAAAGCCAAUUUUUAAAAAAGCCUAUAUGACAAAUAAUUAUUCUUACUGACUUUACACAAAUACACAAGCCAAAUACAAUAAAACUAAAACUUAUUUUGCCUAUAAAUUUGUCCUAUUAUAAUUUGUCUUUAAUAAAAACAAAAACUAAAAAAAGUUUCAAAAAAACCUAACUAUAAUACACCUGUAAUUAAAUUCUAGUCUUAUCCACUGUUUUUGAGUUUUUAUUAUUUUCUAUAAUUUUAACUAAAUCCUAAAUUCUUUCUAGAGUACAAAUUUCCAAACUAAUAUUUUCAAUUUUUUUCUUUUAUUUUUCUAACUUAAACUCAAUAAAAUUACUACUACCUCUUUCCUGAGGCUUUACAAACUAAAGCUUAUUCCUUAUAACACAGACAAAGAAAACGUCAAAUUACUACUGCCUUCCUCCUCUAUAACUAAAAGUACUUUAACAUCCAAAUAGUUUCCAACAUUAAUAUUUGCUUUUCUAUUUCCAUAAAAAUGCCUCUUAAUAAACUUUUUUCUGCCUUCAUCACAUAAAAAGGCCUAGCCCAUGUACAAUACUACCUUCUAAAUAAAACAACUAACUAAACUAAUCCACCCUCAUAAACUAAACAAGACUUAAAGCCACCUUCAUAAAUAUUCAUAUCCCUAUUUACAGCCUAUUAAAUAUAUAUAUUAGCCAACGUGUCAUCACAUCCAAUUACAAUUAACAAUAAAAACCCUACAUAAUUAAAAAAUUCAAAAAUGCCUCAAAUAGCCCUACAAAAUAUACACCAAAAAAUUAAAUCUAUGUGCGACCCUACAUUGUCACUAAAUCAAUAGGGGACAUUCUAAUUCAAGUCAGGACCAUGUUAGAGACAAAAACUACUUAUAACAUUGGCCUGGCCUACAGGGGUAGAUAUAUCCCUGUGUUAUAAAACUUACUACUAUUAUACCCUCUAUGUAAAACUGUAAGACAGACUUUCCCCAAAACUUUCUAAACCUCAAACUAUAACACUCCAAUAAAUAUUGUCUAUAGGCCCAAAUACUCAUAAAUAUUUCCAAAUCCAAAUAAAUCAAUUCCAUUCUAAUACCCCCAAACUAUGCCCCUUCUCAACAAAAAAAUAGCCAAAACAAUUAUGGCAGCCAUUUUCCAUACAAAUAAAAUAAAAUUUGACAAUAAAAAUUACAACCAAACAGCUUAACUUCAAACUGCAUUUUAAAACUUUUUUUCCUUUCCAACUUUCUCCCCAGCCUCAAAAUAUAACUUGAAAAUAAACUACAAAUGUAUUUUACAACCUCAAAAUGUUUUCUUUCCUCCCUUCUCCCAAUCUCAAAAUAUAACUUUAGACAAACUAUAUAUCUGCUUCCUUUUGCCUUAAAAUACAGCCUCAAAAUGUACUAUAAAUCGCCACUCCCCUUCUUUCCCAUACUAUACUCCCAUGCGUUAUGCAUAUUUAUUUACUUACAUCCUUGUUAAGUACAUGCCACACUGACAUAUCUAGUCAUAUAUUUCCAUUAAAACGUCAAAGGCCAAAUCCUAACACAAACCAGACACCUCCAAAAUUCUCUCCCCAGUCAAGGCUGAAACUCAAUCCCAGCUAAAAACUGACUACAGGCCAGAUGCAAAGGCUCACACCUGUUAUCCCAGCACUUCGUGAGGCCGAGGUGGGAGGACUGCUUGAGCCCAGAAAUUUGAGACUAGUCUGGGCAACAUGGUGAAACCCCAUCUCCACCAAAAAAAAAUACAAAAAGUUAGCUGUGCUGGAUGGUGCAUG